ACAGGACAUGCAGUAGUCUGGGUACCCCAGGAAAGGGAGACGAUGGUGUGAUGUAACGUCACGGACACUAGUCCGGGAGUUCCGGUUCCAGCUCUGUCAUGAAACAACAGCUCACCUACGGGAUCUGGAGGUAGCACCGAAACGAUCUGCCAAGUUCUAUAUAGUGAAAAACUUCAGUGAGUCCCCGAAAGGACUGGGUCUUGCCACUGUCAGCCUGAUCAUGCUGAACAGAACAUCCUUGAGCAUGAUGGAACCCUGACCGCUUUUCAGGAGCCAGCAUUUCAUUUCUGUUCACAGAAGAGAGAAAGGAUACUGCCCAAACUCCUGGAGGUGCUACAUAGUAUUUGUACAUGUAUUAUUCUAACAUUCAAAAACAUCUGAACCCCGAAGAAUCUGUCCCCAAGGAUUUCAGAUAAGCUCUUCAGCCAAAGGCCACAGGAACGCACAGGUUGGGCUGGAUACCUGUCACAGGGGGGAAGAACGUGCAUGUGAGGGAACCAUGGAGUGUCUCAGUAAGAGGACGUCAGAGCUUGCUGUGAGCCCCUGAGACUCAGAGAGGUUGAUGACCUACCCAGGACCACACAGGUCACAAAGGCCAAGCCACGACUCAGAGUCUGCCUUCUGACUCCUACUCCCAGGCUCACUCCCUGCCUCUUCUGCUGCUCCAUGAGGAGGAGAGAAGGCCAGGGGUGGUGAGGCUUGGAGGGGACCCACUGAUAGACAAGCUGCUGUCACCGCAGCUCUGACCCCUCCCUCCACGCCCAAUGAGCCUCCAGAACUUGCCCAGCAGGACACUCCGGGGCCGCUGACAGCAGGGGCCAGCCUAGGCCUAGCGCCUGUUAGGAGGCCUGUUCCCAAAGGAGACUCCUAGAGAAGGGUUCCCACGGUGUGGAGCCUGUCAGGGUGCCAAGGGGAAACACACCAGCUUGUUUUAUCGACUUUCCAAGCAGUUGAGGCCUCCAGACCUGUGGUUAGAAGACAAUGAACAGAAGGCAGCGAAGAGGCUGAACUGGCAGCCUGCAUCAGUGGGGUCGGGCAGCCCCCCCAGGCAUCGUCUUCUCUGGGGCCUGGGCAGCCACGGUACAUGAUGUCUGCCUCCUGCGGUCUCCUGGAGUCAUGGGCAGGGCUCCAACUGCCAGGCCUGCCCAGCAGCCUGUCUGCAAACAGGCAGGGAGCACACUUGGUGCAGAAGGGACCCAUCUGGGCUAGAGCUCCAACAGGCCUCAAAGCCAUCCGUUGUCAGGCCAGACCACAGCUGUGUGGGGCUGUGCCUCAUGCACAGACUUGCAGCCCUGCGUCUCCACAGCUGGGGCCAUCUGACUCUCACAGGCCAAGCCCCACCUGCCCGGAGGAUUAAUCUAAACACACAGGGAGGAAGCACUGUUACCCUCGGCAGCGGGCCCCAGCCAGGGACCUGACACCUUGCUCCUGCUUGUGACUGGCUCUAUUUUUCUCUGUGCCUUCAUAACUUGCUGACCCUUCUAGGAAACCCUGAUUCAACUAGUCUUGCUCUUUCCAGACCCCUCUUCCAUUCAUUUGAGUGUCACUAGUCAAAGUGACUA